AUUCGAAUCAAUACGCGCGUUCAUGUCUUGACGUAAUUUUGAACGUAUUCGUUCCCAUCUUUGCGUACAAAUACGAACUUGAUCAUCGUAAGACUUCGAAAUGUCAGUAUUAUACAAUAUUUGGCGCAAUUCGUUGAUAUCACUUUGGUAAAAGACAUACUUUUGUAGAGAAGAUAACUUUCCAGAGAACAUAGAGAUCAUUACUUUUGUAAAUAAGAUAUUUUUGUAGAGAAGGUAGAAACGUUUUGUGUUAACAUAAAAUUAAAACUUCCAACUAAAUAAAUCAUACAGUUCUUAUUCGGAUCGCACGCUUAUACUUGGCGGCUUUUGUUACCUUCUUUUAAAAAGGUUUUUUUGGAGAAUGUAAGAAUAUACGCUGACUUUGGAUAUCUUAACUUUUACAUAUUAUCUCUAGAGAAUUUGAUCUAACGUAGUUGCGAAUUGAACAUUAUUUUCCAUCGGUAAACGAAAUAUUUAACAGUAAAGAUAUACUUCGAUGAAAGAUAUCGAAAUAAAAGAAGCGAUUAGAAAUGUUAUUCAUAAAGAAUAUACAGCUCUGCUGUUGCACAAUUAACAAUUUAACGAACGAUAUUUACAAAUCGUCGUACAUUUUCACGGCGCUUGACCGGCGUCCGCUGUGUGUAGCGGGGGAAGUUCAGGAAGCGGAAUGUUAUGCAAGAUAAAAAAGAUUUUGAAUCAAGUCCGGUGUAUCAAGGACGCUCAAAUCCAUGCCAGUGAUACAUGACCUCGCAGACAAUACGUUCUCCUUCCUGAAUGUCCAAUUAAAAAUUCCGUGCCCGCGAUAUUGGCACAGAUCUCGGUGUCAUUGACUCGAGAUCGACGGCCCUGUCGGCGUUGUCGACACGGGACCAAUCAUGAGAAUUGCGAGAAACGACGCAGUAGUAUUACGCCUUACGUAUCGUAUCGAUAACGGCAGAGGAGGAGAGGCAGCCUCCCACAUUCUAGAUUCUGAAAACGACGCAGUUGCGGUGAUCGCCGCGCGCUCUUUGAAGCCUUCCCGUCCGGGAUCUUUUUGCCACAUUCGCGCUAUUUUUCCACCGCAGAUUUUACGAUGCCCCUCGUAAAGCCGUCCUUGUCGAGACUCGUUCGCGGCAAUUUACAUUAGAAAACACUCCGUGUUUUCUUCCCGCUCCUGUUUUACAUUCGAGGUUCAGAUCGCUUCGUCUAGCGGUGUAUACAUCGAACUUCUUCCUAGCUGCAAUAACGCUCAAUGUAAUGUUAGUAUUAGGGUGGUAAAACUUAAAAACUAGGUUUGCUAUUAGAUAAGAACUGUGCGGGCCUUCGAGUUGACGUUGCUUCUCUUCGUUGUAUCCAUUUUACUAAUUGGAGUAAGAAGUCGAAUUAUCGCAAAGUUACGACGACGAUCAAAAAGUUUAGAAAAAGACGUCUAUUAUCUUUUCUACAAUAUACUAUAUACAUCUUUUUACAUCUACUAUAACCACGAGCGACAAGAAAUUUAUGAAGGUUCUAAUGUGCGUAAAGAACUAUCAGGAUCACUUGGAAGAAUACAAACCCUUAUUCAAUCAACUUCACCGAUUAAAGUCGACCACUCGAGAUGCCCGAGCUACGAAGACGCUCAGCGAAAAGUUCGGUACUUCGUCAGUUUUAUCAGGGCACAAGAAAACAUUGCGGACACCGCGGACACCCAAGCUGAUGCCAUAUAGAUAUGUUUAAUGUGAUCCGACUGUCGGAGAUGAGGGACAUAUUACAAAGAAUAAAAUCUAUAAUAAAUGUUAAUACAUGUUUUACGAAAUGUUUUUAUAAAGAGAUUAAAUUUGAUUAAGAGUGCAAUUCAAAUUAUUCUUCCGCGUCAGCAAUUGUUUUAUUUUUUUUAUCGUUAAGUCACUAUAUAUACUUUGCUGCGUCUUUCGCAGGACUGAGCGCGUUCA